rnacentral:rRNA from 1 species
CCUACGGGGGGCAGCAGUAGGGAAUUUUCGGCAAUGGGGGGAACCCUGACCGAGCAACGCCGCGUGAACGAAGAAGUUAUUCGUAAUGUAAAGUUCUUUUAACAGGGAAGAAAGAGAAAUUUGACGGUACCUGAAGAAUAAGCUCCGGCUAACUACGUGCAAGCAGCCGCGGUAAUACGUAGGGAGCGGGCGUUAUCCGGAAUUAUUGGGCGUAAGGGGUGCGUAGAUGGCGUAGUAAGUAUUUUGUAAAAAUGCUGGGCUAAACCCAGUAGGGCAAAAGAUACUGCAAAGCUAGAGUAUGACUGAGGCAGGUGGAACUAGAGGUGUAGCGGUAAAAUGCGUAAAUAUAAGUAAGAACACCGAUGGCGAAGGCAGCUUACUAGGUCGAUACUGACAUUGAGGCACGAAAGCGUGGGGAGCAAACAGGAUUAGAUACCCGUGUAGUC